AGUGAACGCUGGCGGUAGGCCUAACACAUGCAAGUCGAACGGCAGCACAGUAAGAGCUUGCUCUUACGGGUGGCGAGUGGCGGACGGGUGAGGAAUACAUCGGAAUCUACUUUUUCGUGGGGGAUCACGUAGGGAAACUUACGCUAAUACCGCAUACGACCUACGGGUGAAAGCAGGGGAUCUUCGGACCUUGCGCGAUUGAAUGAGCCGAUGUCGGAUUAGCUAGUUGGCGGGGUAAAGGCCCACCAAGGCGACGAUCCGUAGCUGGUCUGAGAGGAUGAUCAGCCACACUGGAACUGAGACACGGUCCAGACUCCUACGGGAGGCAGCAGUGGGGAAUAUUGGACAAUAGGCGCAAGCCUGAUCCAGCCAUACCGCGUGGGUGAAGAAGGCCUUCGGGUUGUAAAGCCCUUUUGUUGGGAAAGAAAAGCAGCAGGUUAAUACCCCGCUGUUCUGACGGUACCCAAAGAAGAAGCACCGGCUAACUUCGUG
rnacentral:rRNA from 1 species